GUGGAUUAGAUACCCUGGUAGUCCACGCCGUAAACGAUGUCAACUAGCCGUUGGUUCUAUUCGUAGAAUUAGUGGCGCAGCUAACGCAUUAAGUUGACCGCCUGGGGAGUACGGCCGCAAGGUUAAAACUCAAAUGAAUUGACGGGGGCCCGCACAAGCGGUGGAGCAUGUGGUUUAAUUCGAUGCAACGCGAAGAACCUUACCUACCCUUGACAUCCAGAGAAUCUGUUAGAGAUAGCGGAGUGCCUUCGGGAACUCUGAGACAGGUGCUGCACGGCUGUCGACAGCU
rnacentral:rRNA from 1 species